AUUGAACGCUGGCGGCAUGCCUUACACAUGCAAGUCGAACGGCAGCGGACCUUCGGGUGCCGGCGAGUGGCGAACGGGUGAGUAAUAUAUCGGAACGUACCUUUCAGUGGGGGAUAACGUAGCGAAAGUUACGCUAAUACCGCAUAUUCUGUGAGCAGGAAAGCAGGGGAUCGCAAGACCUUGCGCUGAUUGAGCAGCCGAUAUCAGAUUAGCUAGUUGGUGAGGUAAAGGCUCACCAAGGCGACGAUCUGUAGCGGGUCUGAGAGGAUGAUCCGCCACACUGGAACUGAGACACGGUCCAGACUCCUACGGGAGGCAGCAGUGGGGAAUUUUGGACAAUGGGCGCAAGCCUGAUCCAGCCAUGCCGCGUGAGUGAAGAAGGCCUC
rnacentral:rRNA from 1 species